rnacentral:rRNA from 1 species
GGCCAGACUCCUACGGGAGGCAGCAGUGGGGAAUAUUGCACAAUGGGGGAAACCCUGAUGCAGCGACGCCGCGUGAGUGAAGAAGUAGUUCGUUAUGUAAAGCUCUAUCAGCAGGGAAGAAAAUGACGGUACCUGAGUAAGAAGCCCCGGCUAACUACGUGCCAGCAGCCGCGGUAAUACGUAGGGGGCAAGCGUUAUCCGGAUUUACUGGGUGUAAAGGGAGCGUAGACGGUAAGGCAAGUCAGAUGUGAAAGCCCGGGGCUCAACCGCGGGACUGCAUUUGAAACUGUCCUACUGGAGUGCAGGAGAGGUAAGUGGAAUUCCUAGUGUAGCGGUGAAAUGCGUAGAUAUUAGGAGGAACACCAGUGGCGAAGGCGGCUUACUGGACUGUAACUGACGUUGAGGCUCGAAAGCGUGGGGAGCAAACAGGAUUAGAUACCCUGGUA